rnacentral:rRNA from 1 species
GACGAACGCUGGCGGCGUGCUUAACACAUGCAAGUCGAACGGAAAGGCCCUGCUUUUGUGGGGUGCUCGAGUGGCGAACGGGUGAGUAACACGUGAGUAACCUGCCCUUGACUUUGGGAUAACUUCAGGAAACUGGGGCUAAUACCGGAUAGGAGCUCCUGCUGCAUGGUGGGGGUUGGAAAGUUUCGGCGGUUGGGGAUGGACUCGCGGCUUAUCAGCUUGUUGGUGGGGUAGUGGCUUACCAAGGCUUUGACGGGUAGCCGGCCUGAGAGGGUGACCGGCCACGUGGGGGAUGGGGCACGGCCGCGAGUGGUAGGGGAGGGAGUGGGGGGGGGUGUCGCACGCUGGGCGGGAGCGUGGGGCAGCGACGGCGCGUGCGGGAGGGCGGCCUUCGGGUUGUAACCCGUCUGCGCAUGCGACGGUGCGGGAUAGGGGGUAAUGAGUAAAGAACCACCGGCUAACUACGUGCAAACAGCCGCGGUAAUAAUCGGAAGAGAACCCGUCUGACC